rnacentral:tRNA from 1 species
GUUAUCUUGGCAGAUUUAAUGUAUUAAGUUUAGAUCUUAUUAAUGUGAUUUUUAUCACAGAUAAUA